rfam:Puccinia sorghi strain RO10H11247 Scaffold_4060, whole genome shotgun sequence.
CUGUCCUUGGUACAGUGGUUAGUACACUUCACAUGGACAUAGGAGAUGUGGGUUCAAUUCCUACAAGACACA